UACGUAGGCAGCAAGCGUUGUUCGGAUUCACUGGGCGUAAAGGGUGCGUAGGUGGCGUGGUAAGUUUGAUGUGAAAGCUCAGGGCUUAACCCUGAAAUGGCAUUGAAUACUACUGUGCUGGAGGUUUGGAGGGGGGACUGGAAUUCUUGGUGUAGCAGUGAAAUGCGUAGAUACCAAGAGGAACACCAGUGGCGAAGGCGAGUCCCUGGACAACACCUGACACUGAGGCACGAAAGCUAGGGGAGCAAACAGG
rnacentral:rRNA from 1 species